AGGGCCUCACCCACAGCAUAUGGAGGUUCCCAGGCUAGGGGUCGAAUUGGAGCUACAGCUGCCAGCCACAGCCACAGCCAUAUGGGAUCCAAGCCAUGUCUGACCUACACCACAGCCCAUCAUGGCAACGCUGGAUCCUUAACCCACUGAGCAAGGCCAGAGAUGAAACCUGCAUCCUCAUGGAUGCUAGUCAGAUUCGUUUUCACUGAGCCACGACAGAACUCCCAAAACUCCCCUCUUACGACCAGGAAGUCCAGGCAUUUCUGUGAUGUGGAGCUGGUGGAGGGAAACUUGGGAGCUCUGUCUAGGCCAGGCAUCCCUACUUUGCUUCCCAAGCCACCAACAGCCUCUUGGGGCCAGCCAGGCAAGGUCUCAACUCAGAGGAACCCCAAAGUUCAAGAGGCCGCCCUGUCUUCCUACCACCCUCUCUGCAUGAGGCCCCAAAUAUAGAGCAAGGACAUCCUUGCUGGCCCUCUCAAGCCUCGAGUGACAAGGAUGGCCUCGCCCCACAGAAAAUGCACCUUGUCAGUGAAGCACGAUCUCUCCCCAACCAUGCACAGCGAGUCAUGGUCAGGACCAAAAGAAACGAUCAGAAGGAGCCACAUUCAAGGACUUAUAAGUUAUAAGGUGGGUCCAUCAUUCUGGGCCUCAGCUACCUGCCCAUGAAAUGGACCUGAGAAUAUUAAUACCCCUCUUCUUGCCAGAAGGUCAGGAGCUGAACUGGAUGCUCUUCUCCUAUCCUUUCCAGAUCAAAGAUCUUGGCUAUAGGAACAAUCUCAGCAGCAACAAGAACAGCCAAGUGACCCAGAAUCAGACACUUCCUGCCCUGAGCCUGGCUAGCUGCCCCCAGGGAGGCCCCAAGUGGAGUCAUCGACUCACACCUGCCACUGGGUGCCUAGAAAACCCCUGGACCUUCUCACUGCAAACACCUGGAAAUUUACCUGCCAAAUCUAAAGGAGGAAAAGGGGGAGGACUGGCCAGGCCCUCCCCCCACCAGCCCCCCAACCCCUCAACCCUCUGGUCUCCAGAUCUGGCUCAUGCCUGCCCCAGGUUCAUGAAUCUUGCAGAGAACACACAGCAUAGAUGCAAAGGGACAAUUCCCCAGUGGGCACUUUGGGGCUGCGGCUACCUCAUCAUCCCCUCUGCCUCCUUCCAGCUAACUCAGCAGGCUCUGUCUCUCCCUGGCCAAGCCCAGUGUGGAGAGGUAAAGAUUUCUAGGAGCCUAGAGCAGGCUGAUUCCUCCCUGGGUCUCAGGGAUCAGGGGCACUUCUACAACCCACUGAGCACAUCAUGGGUCAUUACCUUGUGCCAGGUUGGGCACAGGGGUAAAGAAAAGAGGCACUUCUGCUGUGGCAUAAUAGGAUCAGCAGGAUUUCUGGAGCGCUGGGACACAGGUUUGACUCCCGGCUGGCACAGUGGGUUAAGGAUCCCGGCUGUAGCUCAGAUCUGAUCCCUGGCCCAGGAACUCCAUAUGCGGUGGGGUGGCCAGAUAAGGGGGUGGGCGGAGAAUAGAAAAGAAAAGGCCAUGGUCCCCACCCUCAAGGAGCUCCCUAGUUACUGAAGUGAGGCACAGAAAUUGAUGCAGUGAUACCACUGCCCUCAGCAGGCGAGCAGGGGCAAAGGGGAGUCCUGUCUGAGCCCUUUCCUCAGCAUCAGCCCCUUCUAGGUUCCCUUAACCCAUAGGAAAACCCCAACUGGAGAACCAGCGAAUGUUCCCCCUCCCCAGCCCUGCCGCCAUUCCCAGCAAAGCUCUCUCUGCCUCCCUUUCCCCAAGGGCUGCUUCUCCUUGGAAGGUGGGUCCCCUCUGGGGGUGCUGGAGGGCCAGGGAAGGGGAGGAGGAUCCUACGAG
rnacentral:lncRNA from 1 species